GCCUCCGCGCCUAUACGCUGGGCCGCCGCCGCCGCGCGCGCGCCCCUCUUGCCCCGGCGCCCGCCGCCCAGCGGACCGGCUCCGGUCUCAGCCUCACAGCAGCGCCUGAAAUGGCGGCGGCGGCCGCGGGCCUUCCCCACCGGAAAUGACGCGCGCUUUGCCCCCUCGAGGAUGCCGGGAAGGGGACCGCCACCCGCCAUUGGGAGAAGGGCAAAGUAUGCCUCGAGCGCUCACUGCGCGUGCGUUCUCACGUGCGUCGCCACCUGGCGGGGAUCGGGACUGCAGCGGAUGGACAGGCAAAGUCUGGGACGAGGGGUAGGGGCUCAGCCAGCAGUCGGCGGAGGUUUGUGUUUGUGCUUUGGGACCCGAGGCUCUUCUCUGCACCAGGCUUCAAGUUCCUGGAAGGCCCAGAAUUUCUAGGCGGCGACUCCGGGCCAGAACUGGAGUACAAAAGAUGCAUGUGGCCCCAGGGCCUGAGUUCCGGGAGACCCGUCUUUUUCUGGUGGUUCCUCCAGCUUUUGUCUAUACUGGCUAAAGUUUUUUGUUUGCAUUGAUUCAUUCAGCAAACAGUUAUUGACACCACUGUGGGUGCAAAGGUGAUCAAGUCUGGGCCUUGACCUCACCGAAUUCACCACCAAUGGGAGGAACCAGGAAACAAUGACAAAGGAAUGCCAAGUGCUGUGAUAGGGAACCGAGAAGGGACUCUAGGAGCACGGGGGGGGGGGGGGGGGGGGGUGCUAAUCCAGUCUGUAAAGGGAUUCAAUACGAAGUGGCUUACCAGAGGAGGUGGCUUGAGCUGAAUGUUGAAUGGCAAGUGGGGAAAGAGCAUUCAACACAAAGGAAGCAGAAUGUGCCAAGCGAGGUAGAGCUAUCUCCAUUUUACAGAUGAAGCUCAGGGAGGUUAAGUAAUUUGUCCAGAGACACACGGCUGGCUGCCGAGUGAGGAGCUGGCAUUCAAAUCCUGGAAGGAACAGAGAGCUAUGGUCCUUGUGCCACAUCCUCAGGCUCCUGGAAUGGGAACGGAGAGGGACUCGAGGCUGGGGGAGGAUGGCAGAAAUAGGCAUUAAAAAAAAAAUCAGCCAGCCCUGGGUUUUGGUCUUAACAUGAACAGCACACCUCUUCCGGAUCUACUUCACACACUCCUGGGCCUGCUCUGGGAAGGGAAGGAGAGCAAAGGCACCUUCCAUGCUGUGGGUGACUCAUCGUGACCCUGGCUUAGUCACAGCCAAGUUACCACAAGCCAGCAGCAGAAAUCAUCCCAGUGUGAAUUCUGGCCCUUUGGGAAAGAGGAGUGCCUGCUCUUCGCUUCUCCAGAAUGGCGGAGCCUUGAGGCAAAGCCUUACCAGGAGGCUGCUUGUGGGCUCUGAAGCCAUUUCUCCAAACCCUCUCUCUGGGGCAUAUGGAUAUGACAGAAAACGUACUUUAAAAGAAGAAAAAGGGAAAGGAAGGAAGGAAGGCACAGAGGAAGGAAGGAAACAGAUCAUAAACUGGAUUAUAAGCAAGGAGAUCGACAAGGAAGGAGACCUAGACUCAAGGCGCUACUCGCGUGUGUUCUUUCUUGAGCACAGAGAGGCCAAUGAGACAGAGAAAGGCAGAAUGCGUUGUGUGCCUUGCUGCGAGGUGAAUGCCCCUCCCUGCCUCCAUCCUUUAGGAAAGUCUUUGCAGUGAGGCAUCCAAGAGAAGGUGUCACCUUCGUUGUCUCCAUCCUCUCCAAGCUGAGGAAGUCAAGAACAUCUGAAGGAGGCAAGAUGCAACCGUGCCCGUCUUGUCGUCUCCCCCUACUCACCCGUCCCUGGCUCCUCUGAUUCUUCUUCCUCCUCCUCUGACGAGCCUCCGCACUUUGCACUUGCUGUUCCCUCCACUGGCGGCCCACGGUCAGUCCCUCACCUCCUCCAGGUCUGUGCCCCAUGUUGCCCCCUCAGGGAGACCUUCCCUCACCCGCCCAUUUGCAAAGGCGAAUGGUGCAGCCACCUCUGCUUCUCCUCCUUCUCUGCUUUAUUUAUUUUCCUCCUCUAAAACAUAAGCUCCGUAAAAGCAAGGAUUUGGGUGCUUUUUGUUCUUGCUAUAUCCCGAGUGCCUGGCAGAGAGCCUGGCACAUAAUAGACAUUAAGUAAAUACUGGUUGAAUGAAGGAAUGGACAGAGAUUUGGGUGGAGACUCUUGUCCAGGGCCCCAUGUAGCUUCCCACAGUUGGCACGCAACUCCUGGAGGGCACUGGACUUCCUGCAGGACGUGAGCUGGGGGUGCAGACCAUUCUUGACUGCCUCGCCAGAGGCCAAGGCUCCUGGGCCAGACGUGGGUCACGUCUGCGACGUGGCCUUUGCACGCAUCGCAGUUUGCUAGAGAAAGGCGUGUUGCUGGGUUCUAAAGCUGCUAAUUGCACCCAGCACAAUGCUUAUCUUAUCUGUCGGCUUCUUGCAGCCACUGCUACUACUGAUAGAGCGGACAAAUUAUUGUGGUGCUUUUUUUUUUUCCUGUAGUUGGGGGAGUGUCAAAUCUAGGUUGUGCACACAGGAUUGCGUCAAGCCCAAGAUAGUCCCACGUUGUACAGUAUCUCAUUCAUCGGGAACUUCUGCCCCGGAUGAUGAAUCUAAGCUCCUGGGCAGAUAGCUUGACCCCAAAUUAAACUUUUUCUUGCCUUUAACCCCUUCCUUUGCCAUUCCUUCUGCUCACCACGCCUGUCCCACUUGGGAAAACUCUUAGCCAUCUGCCAAGGAGUUCUGUGGAUGCUGCCUGCAACACUCAUUCCCUUUCUUCUGGAGGCACCACUCUGAUGAUCUCUUGGGAAGGCAUCUGCCCCCGCUCUUGGACCAUGAGUCAGGCACAGGGAGAGAGACAGAGCAUGAGCGGGGGAGGAGCAGAAAGAAAGGGAGACGCAGAAUCUGAAGCAGGCUCCAGGCUCUGAGCUGUCAGCACAGAGCCCGACGAGGAGCUUGAACUUGGAACGGCGAGAUCAUGACCUGAGCCAAAGUUGGACGCUUCACCGACUGAGCCACCCAGGCGCCCCCUGAGACUUUUGAAUUACUGGGAAAGACGCUCUUUUUUCCUACCUCCUUAUGCUCAACUCACAGAGUGAAAGCCCAGAGCUGCUGCUGACUGUUGCCGCCAUGCCACAGGGCAGAACCUGCUUGACAGUGGAGCCACCGCAGAGGAAGGCUGAGCCAAGAGACGGUCCCAGACAUGUUCUUAACGAUGUUGUUUGAGUGCCUGCAAGCAGCCCUACCCUGGGACCAUUAGGUCGCUAAUGCUAAUAAAUGCCUUUUCUGCCCAAGCCAAUUUAGAUUUUAUUUGCCACUUGCCACAGAAUUUGGAGCCUAUCCUUUGGGACCCAGCUCAGAUGUCAUCUUCUCUGUGAAGUGUUUACAGCCUUUCUCCCCCACUGAGUCCAUCGCUAGUCAGUGUGCCCCUUGGGGCCUGCACUUCCCACACUGGGCUGUGUUUCUCUCCGCCGGGCUGAGGACCACUGGGCAGGGACUGUGUGAGAUGCAUCUUCCCCUGGCCCACAGCAGUGGGCCAGGCUGAGCAGCCCUUCGGUAGAUAGUUAACGAAAAAGCAAGUCUGUGUUGCAGCUACUGGUUACUUCUGUUUUCCCUCCGGGAAGGCACCCUGCCUUCCUCCUUCUGUGGACAAGGCAAAAAUUCUAACACAAGACCCCGGGUUGCCUUUAGGGGUCCUGUCCCUUUUCCUAACAUUCACAAGCAGACCAAUGUUGGCAAACACAUAUUGCUUUAUUUAGUGUUUCUCUGGAUUGCAGAAGUAUCAGCAGUGGGCUGAGACCCCCAGGAGGGCAGAGGCAGCUGGGCAGCGCUCAGGCCCUCUGGGGAGGUGGGGGGACACAGCAGAAAGAGGUGAUGCCUCUGCAGCUCCUCCCAAGGCUAGCCUCUUCCCUGGGCUCCGCAGACAGUAGGGCGUAAGGGCCAGGAAAGGGCCUACAUCCUUGAAUUGGGGCCAAAGUAUAUAAA